rnacentral:rRNA from 1 species
GUUGUAUGGUUAAGUGACUAAGCGUACACGGUGGAUGCCUUGGCAGUCAGAGGCGAUGAAGGACGUAUUAACUUGCGAUAAGCCCAGAUUAGGCAGUAAAAGCCACUUGAGUCUGGGAUUUCCGAAUGGGGAAACCCACUAGCAUAAGCUAGUAUCAUUAACUGAAUACAUAGGUUAAUGAAGCGAACCGGGGGAACUGAAACAUCUAAGUACCCCGAGGAAGAGAAAUCAACCGAGAUUCCGGUAGUAGCGGCGAGCGAAACCGGAUUAGCCCUUAAGUUAGUUCAGCGUUAGGUGAAGGUUCUGGAAAGUACCGCGAUACAGGGUGAUAGCCCCGUAACCAACAACGCUUUAUUAGUGAAAUCGAGUAGGACGGGACACGUGAUAUCCUGUUUGAACAUGGGGGGACCAUCCUCCAAGGCUAAAUACUCCUGACUGACCGAUAGUGAACCAGUACCGUGAGGGAAAGGCGAAAAGAACCCCUGUGAGGGGAGUGAAAUAGAACCUGAAACCGUGUACGUACAAGCAGUAGGAGCC